rnacentral:rRNA from 1 species
UACGUAGGUGGCAAGCGUUGUCCGGAAUCACUGGGCGUAAAGCGCACGUAGGCGGAUGUGUAAGUCAGGGGUGAAAUCCCGGAGCUCAACUUCGGAACUGCCUUUGAUACAGCACAUCUGGAGUCCGGAAGAGGUGGGUGGAAUUCCUAGUGUAGAGGUGAAAUUCGUAGAUAUUAGGAAGAACACCAGUGGCGAAGGCGGCUCACUGGCCCGGUACUGACGCUGAGGCGCGAAAGCGUGGGGAGCAAACAGG